UACGAAGGGGCUAGCGUUGCUCGGAAUCACUGGGCGUAAAGGGUGCGUAGGCGGGUCUUUAAGUCAGGGGUGAAAUCCUGGAGCUCAACUCCAGAACUGCCUUUGAUACUGGGAAUCUCGAGUCCGGGAGAGGUGAGUGGAACUGCGAGUGUAGAGGGUGAAAUUCGUAGAUAUUCGCAAGAACACCAGUGGCGAAGGCGGCUCACUGGCCCGGUACUGACGCUGAGGUGCGAAAGCGUGGGGAGCAAACAGGG
rnacentral:rRNA from 1 species